CCCGGCCGACCUCAACCCGCCCGCCGCCCCGUCCACACCUCUUCCCGCUCGCCACCCCCGCCGCGGCGCUCGAGCGCAGCUUCUGGAUCAGGUCAACGCGGCGGCUCGACAGGCUGGGGGCGAUGCGUCUGCUCGAUGCAAAACGGCGGCGGCGGGAUCCAGCGGGCGCGGGAGAAGGAGAGAUCCGGCGCGGCGGCGCGAAGUCCUUGCAAGUGGAGGCGGGCCUCCAUGGCUGGCAGGGAGAGCUCCAAGGUCAUGGCGGUGAUUCGAUUUUUCUGGUAGAGAAGAGAGACAGGAGGAUCCAGGGUGGAGGAGAGGUAGGAGAAGAAGGACGAGGAAGAUGGAAGGGUGCGGCAGGGGUGCAGCGGUGCGAGGGCACUGGUGCGCGUGAGGAGCGCCUCUCCUCGGGAGGAUCAGGGAGGAGCGAGUGAAACUCAAAUCGACUUCAGAGCAAGGUACUGGUGUAGAACUACGAAGAAGCAAGCUGACCAGAUGCACACGUACUAGCCGGCAACAACGAUGAAGGAAGCCAACCAGAUGUGCACAAAACUACACUACAUCAUGCCUAAUUGAAUCCUCCGGUACGUGUUCCAUUGGCUAAUAGACCAUGCUAGCUAGCUAGCAACCAUGUAAAUUCCCCACGCUUGAUUGAUUCCUUUGGGACUUUAUUAACUUCUAUAUGUUCUUCCCAUGAUUAUCUAGAUAAUGCUAACUGUUGAUAUUUCUUUCACGCAUACAUGGUUUUGCUUGGAGUUUUUCCACUGGCUACGUCUGAACUCUGAAUAUUAUGAACUUAAGGAUAAAUCUUAUAGCAGAUCAAAAUCAUGGUCCACGCAAAAAGAAGAGACCAGAAUCAUGGUUGUGCUGAUUCCAUAGGGGCCUCAUGAUGGUUUGUGUUCUUUUAUUCAAAUGAAAAAACCAAGAUUAUUAUUGUAACUGUUACAGUUGUACUAGCAGGAUUAUCCUAGAAGUUGUGCCAAUUUUCCAUCAAUUGAUAACACUGUAAGGUAGUGAGUCAUCUUUGUAGACUUUACCAUGCCUAGAUUGGUUGACUUGGAUCACGUGUAUGUCUUACACUUUUAGACAAUUCUCACUUGCUAUGCUAAGCUCGAAUUUGAAGAUACAAGUUGAGGUGUGUCUUGGGACAGUGUGACUAAAAACCGAACCUUCAGUUUAUGCAAUCAGAAGAAAAGUGAAUGAAUUUUCAAUGAAAACAAAAUACUUCUGAGCAUAAGGAUGAAAAAGUGCAGCAACCGACUUGGCUUAUUGUUUUGGAAAUUGCAACCGGUGCUCUCCUUCUUGUUUUUGUGAUCACUAGUGCUGUUACUGCCUCCAGAAGCUUCAAUCUAAAGCCUUCUAUAAGAAUAUCAUCAUGGAGUAGAUCAAAAAGUUGGAGCAACGAGAUAACAGUACUGAUUGAUUCUGAUAUGCUGAAAAGUUUGCCAAAGUUGAGUCACUAGGAACUUGAAGUAGUGUGUUAGGAUUUUAGCAACAUAAUUGGCUCAACUCUGGAGACUAUAGUCUACAAAGAAACAAUGAAGGAUGGACCUGAGGUUUCUGUCAUAUCAUUAUGCGCCUUUGAAGGUCAUUGGACUAGCCAGCAUGAGCUCUUUUACCAAAACAAGGUUAUUGAUCUGGCAAGGUUGAAUCAUGAGAACAUAGCAAAGUUUCUGGGCUAUUGCAGAGAGAGUGACCCAUUCUCGAGGAUGUUAAUCUUUGAGUAAAAAUCAAAUGGGACCCUGUACGAGCACCCACACUGUAAGUCUAUCUCUUCAAUUUCAUUAGGACAGACUAAAUAUUUGCAUUUUCUGUGUGUUGUAGAUUUGAUCUCAUUUGUUUUCGUCCUUUAUAUGGGGAAGAGGCCCAAUUCUCUUGGCUCAGAUGAAUGAAAAUAGCCAUGGACAUCGCCCAAGGUUUAAGGCUGACGACGUCGUCUAUUGAAGCCCCACCGGCGACACGACGGGACAGCUCUGACUUGUACGUGGGUGUGGGAACGCAGAUCCGCGUUGCCAGCUUACACAAGGCCAUGCUCAACGCGCCGACGCAGGGUUUAUCGCCCGUCUUUGUCAGAUAAGCAAAGCAAUCCACCUUCCUCUUUCUCAUCAGAUCCAUUUUAUUGUGAUAUUGCAUUUAAGUCAAUCAAUUUUUAUGAUUCUUUCAGUGUUAAAGAAAAUGGAAUUUACCUGAAUAAAUUGCAUGUAUAGAUAUGUAGAGGAUGAACUCAACAAGUGGAUCUUUCAAGGUUAAUUAGCUUUGCACAUUUUAUAAAAUAGAUGCAAUGGCAUAGCACCUUCAGUAUCAUGCUUGCACUCACAUGUUGUUCCAACAGCACUAUGAAUGUUGCCCAGAAUUGCCAUGCCUUCAGCUUUCGCUAUAAGUUCCUAUGAUGCUCCUUUUCAGGUGACUUUUCAUGUGAUUUCUACUUCUAAAAAUUAGAAAGUACCUUCAGAUCAAAGCAGUGGAUUUGUAGAUUUUCUGGGUAUUGGUGCUACUCCAUCUCCAUUUGGCUUACGGUCUUUGGUCACUGAUUCUGAGCUAUCAAGGAAGAAAGUAAUGGACAUUCACAGGUCAGAGUCUCCCCAUCAGCAUUUGAUGGCAGGGGCCGCUGCUUUACAGAAGAUGGAUGUGAAACCAAAAUCAUAUUCUACCAACUUUUAUUUAAUGCAUAUUAUCAUUUAGCAAUACGUUGGCUGUGCCUCCCCGUGAUCAAUGGAGAUCUUCUGUAGAUGUAUUGGAGUUUUGUCAUGCGUUAAACUUCUCAAUGGUUGACCAUGGAAAAUCUGUGUAGUUCUUAUUUUGUACAUAUGCUUCUGGUUUCAAGGAGAAUUCUUACUCCUUUUGGAAUUACCAUCUUUAAACAUUGUAGAUCCCAAUCUCUUGUGUAUUUGCAUCAAAUACUGUUUUUCGAAUGCUUAUCAUGUAUAAUACUAAACUCCCUCCCCCUACUUCUUCUGUCACAUGUGUUGUUCCUUUGUCAUUAGUGAGCUCCAGAAAACACAACUGCAAGGUAGAGAAUAGUUGCCACUUAGUUAGCAUUUUAGUUAGCAGUGUAGACAUGUUAGUAAUACUAUAAUGUUGGACAAUAAAUGACUUCGACUACAUUCGAACGAACUUAUCUUGCUUCCAAGAAGAGUAAAAUCAUCUUUAAUAAUUUCCCGGAUUUUGCUUAUAUUCAUGUUUCUUAACAUGUUUGGAAUGUCGUUUCCUCCAAAAUGCGACAUUUACCUUCCAUUUGGAGCAUAGGAUGCAUUUUUUAUCAGUUGAUGACUGAAAAAAAUCACUUUUCUGAUAAAAACGCUAUCCGUCAGUUGGACUUAAUUAAUUGCCUUCUAGACACACCUUCAAAUAUAUACAGGUUCUCUAAUAAGGUAGUCGUGGGAACACUAUAUUUUUGGUUUACAUUGUAAAUGUUUCCAGUGACCACAAAUUUGACUUUCUUU